GCCCUGGCUGGAUAGCUUAGCUGGUUAGAACAUCCUCUCAAUAUCCCAAGGUUGUGGGUUCGAUCCCUGGUCAGGGCACAUACAAGAAUCAACCAAUGAAUGUAUAAAUA